UGGGCGUAAGCGCGCGCAGGCGGUUUCUUAAGUCUGAUGUGAAAGCCCACGGCUCAACCGUGGAGGGUCAUUGGAAACUGGGGAACUUGAGUGCAGAAGAGAAAAGCGGAAUUCCACGUGUAGCGGUGAAAUGCGUAGAGAUGUGGAGGAACACCAGUGGCGAAGGCGGCUUUUUGGUCUGUAACUGACGCUGAGGCGCGAAAGCGUGGGGAGCAAACAGGAUUAGAUACCCUGGUAGUCCACGCCGUAAACGAUGAGUGCUAAGUGUUAGAGGGUUUCCGCCCUUUAGUGCUGCAGCUAACGCAUUAAGCACUCCGGCCGGGGGAGUACGGUCGCAAGACUG
rnacentral:rRNA from 2 species